ACUUGAUAGUGGAGCUUGUACGCCGGUUACUCCAUCAGUACCAUCGUUUAUUUUGGUAAUUAAUCAUGCCCGACUACUGAACACAAGUGUUUUGUGUCCGCAAACAUGGCAGAGAUGGUUUGGGACCCUCAAAUUGGAUCUGGUGUUGCUCAUGCUUCUAUUUUUCAUUAUCCUGCAGAAGACACAUCAAGACGGCGUUUGAUCAAGACAUCAUAUUUAUUUAUUUAAAAAAAAAUGUUACAAUAAUAAAGAAAAAAAAAAUGUUAUUCUUACUUUUUGGCGGAGGAGCUAGUUUAAUGUUUCAGUAAAGAAAAAAAAUGUU